rnacentral:misc_RNA from 1 species
UGAGACGAGAACUCGGUGCCACAUGUAGAACAGACAAACAUACGCUGCAUCCCAUCAGUUUCGUUAUCGUGUACCUUCAUAUGUAGUUGUAACGCCCUGGCAGUUGCGAAUGCUUGGUCACAAUGGCUGCAUUGAUUAUUGCCAUGGAGGCAGACAUGAACUCGAAAAUCUCCCAACUUUGCAAAAUGUUCAAGGCACUGGUUGCAUCGGUACAUCCGGGUAGGUCCUGUCGGCGAAUUCUUGUCCCUAACCUGAAGGAUUAUUAGUGAUCAGAGAACGGUCAAGUUAUUAAACAUGGAGGUUGAAGCGAUGCUGUUGGUCGAUCCCAGAAUCUUUCUAUUUGUACAACUUUUCUUGUAUAUAAUCGACCUUCGCUGUCGACACAUUCCUCAGUUCGUAAAGUAUUCAUCAUUUGACGUUGUCGAUUGGAUAUUACCGAAGUUUGCUCCUCAGGAGGACUAACUGAGGCAGGUGUCGGUAAAUCGUCUAACUGUUGCUCUGCCAUCUCUAAGACAACUUCUUGUCCAUCAUGGAAUUGUUUGAUAUGCUCCAGAACAGAGUUGAAACUCAUUCCACAACUACUACAGCUAUAUAAUGCCUCAGCUUCUA